rnacentral:rRNA from 1 species
CACACCGCCCGUCACACCAUGGGAGUCGGUAACACCCGAAGUCUGUAGCCUGACGCAAGAGGGCGCAGCCGAAGGUGGGAUUGAUGACUGGGGUGAAGUCGUAACAAGGUAUC